GUAGGGAAUAUUGCGCAAUGGACGAAAGUCUGACGCAGCGACGCCGCGUGAGUGAUGAAGGCCUUCGGGUCGUAAAGCUCUGUUGCAGGGGAAUAAAAAAAUGAAGGUACCCUGUGAGGAAGGAUCGGCUAACUUCGUGCCAGCAGCCGCGGUAAGACGAGGGAUCCUAGCGUUGCUCGGAAUCAUUGGGCGUAAAGAGGGCGUAGGUGGCUUGGUAAGUCAGGUGUGAAAGCCCAGGGCUCAACCCUGGAAGUGCAUUUGAUACUGCUGAGCUUGAGUGUCGGAGAGGUUACCGGAAUACCUGGUGUAGUGGUGAAAUACGUAGAUAUCAGGUGGAACACCGGAGGCGAAGGCGGGUAACUGGACGAACACUGACACUGAGGCCCGAAAGCGUGGGGAUCAAACAGGAUUAGAAACCCCAGUAGUCC
rnacentral:rRNA from 1 species